GAUGAACGCUAGCUGCAGGCUUAACACGUGCAAGUCGAGGGGAAACGACAUCGAAAGCUUGCUUUUGAUGGGCGUCGACCGGCGCACGGGUGAGUAACGCGUAUCCAACCUGCCCAUCACUUGGGAAUAACCUUGCGAAAGUAAGACUAAUACCCAAUGAUAUCCCACGAAGGCAUCGGAAUGGGAUUAAAGAUUUAUCGGUGAUGGAUGGGGAUGCGUCUGAUUAGCUUGUUGGCGGGGUAACGGCCCACCAAGGCAACGAUCAGUAGGGGUUCUGAGAGGAAGGUCCCCCACAUUGGAACUGAGACACGGUCCAAACUCCUACGGGAGGCAGCAGUGAGGAAUAUUGGUCAAUGGGCGAGAGCCUGAACCAGCCAAGUAGCGUGCAGGAAGACGGCCCUAUGGGUUGUAAACUGCUUUUAUAAGGGAAUAAAGUGGGUCACGUGUGACUUUUUGCAUGUACCUUAUGAAUAAGGACCGGCUAAUUCCGUG
rnacentral:rRNA from 1 species